UGAUUAUUCAUCAAAAAGCAAUAUCAGAAUCUUGUGUUCUCCUUUCAGAGCACACAAACUCAAGACCGACCAGCAUUAACAACCAUUCAGGCACCCAGACAUCCAGCAGCCUCUGCAAUAUCUGGACCGUCUUUAGCUGAGAGGUCCCCAUUGCCCCUUAUUAACCUGACCGCUGUCUCCAACUCUCUAAGAAGAGCAAAACAAAAGUUUUCUGCCAUAGAAACACAGAUGGAGGUGACGUCAGCCUUUCCUGUCCUCUCUCUCACCCCGCCACAAGAACUCUUCUCUCAGACACACUGGCCUGCUUUGAAUGAGGAGAGAAAGACUCUCACUCAAUCCGACACACUCGUGAGCAAAGCUGCGUGCGGCAUGAUGGAAGGAAUCGAGUCGCAUCAGGGGCCCACCACCACUGCAGAAGAGACAUGUGAAAGAGAUGCAUCAUCUGGGACAGAGAGGGAAUACAGCUCAGCUGCGGAGCAGAUAAUUGAAUUGCCCCUGAAAAAUGAGAAGAAAUGGGUGGUGCAUCAUGAAGGUCAUGAUGAUGAUGAAGAAGAGGAAUGUAACUUGGCAGAGGCGCAACAGUGGCAGGAUGAGCUAAUGGAGCUGAUGCACAAGACAGCAGAGGAGAGAGAUGCGUGCCGUCAGGAGCUGGAGGUGCUUCGAGAGCACAGCGCCGCCCUGGAGGACGAAAGGAACCGGCUCAUCAGCAGGCUGGAGAGUGCAGGAGAGGAGAAGAGCAAGCUUUCUGCCCUGUGUGAUCAGCUGAGGAGUCAACUGGCAGAGCUCAGGGAACAGAGCCAGAGAGGAAUGGAAGAGAAAGACGACAGCUCCAAACUGAGGACGCUGCGUCUAAACCUGAGCCGUCUGCUGGUGUCUUUCAUUCCCUCACUUCAUCUUGAG
rnacentral:lncRNA from 1 species